UUACAGCAAUUGAUGGAUGCCUUGGCUUCAUCAGGCGAAGAAGGACGCAGCAAGCUGCGAUAAGCUUCGGGGAGCGGCACGCACGCUUUGAUCCGAAGAUUUCCGAAUGGGGAAACCCGGCACCGGUCAUUCGGUGUCGCGACGGUCCGAAUACAUACGAUCGUCCGCGCAAUACGUGGAGAAGUGAAACAUCUCAGUAUCCACAGGAAAAGAACGAGAAUCGAUUCCGUCAGUAGUGGCGAGCGAAAGCGGAACAGCCCAAACCGGAAAAACUUGUUUUUCCGGGGUUGUGGGAGCCCGUAAAAGAAGAAAGGAUGCGAAGCCGAACAGUCUGCGAAAGGCUGGCCAUAGACCGUGACAGCCGGGUCGGCGAAGUUGAGAGUCUUCUGGGAAUUCCCGAGUAACGCGAUGCACGUGAAACUUCGCGUGAAACUGUCCAGACCACUGGAUAAGGCUAAAUACUACUUGGCAACCGAUAGUGAACUAGUACCGCGAGGGAAAGGCGAAAAGAACCCCUGCUAGGGGAGUGAAAUAGAUCCUGCAACCCUCUGCCUACAAUGUGUCGGAGCCCCGAAAGGGGUGACGGCCUGCCUUUUGCAUAAUGAGUCUGCGAGUUAUUGUCAGUGGCCAGCGUCAGACCCUCUGGGUUGGACGCGAAGCGAAAGCGAGUACGAAAUGUGCGCCUAGUCGCUGGCAAUAGACCCGAAGCGGAGGUGAUCUACUCUUGAGCAGGUUGAAACCAAGGUAACACUUGGUGAAGGACCGAACUCGUGGAUGUUGAAAAAUCCUGAGAUGACUUGAGAGUAGGAGCGAAAGACUAAUCAAACCCUGUGAUAGCUGGUUCUUUCCGAAAUAUAUUUGGGUAUAGCGUCGGAUGCUGAUUUGCGGAGGUAGAGCACUAAAUAAGCUAGGGCCCCUACCGGGGUACUGAACUUAAUUAAACUCCGAAUACCGCAGAGUGAAGUCCGGCAGUCAGACUGUGGGGGAUAACCUUCAUAGUCGAGAGGAGAAUAAUCCAAACCAUCAGUUAAGGUCCCAAAAUAUGGCUCAGUGGAAAAGGAUGUGAUUUUGCUUAGACAAUGGGGAUGUUGGCUUAGAGGCAGCCAUCAUUUAAACAGUGCGUAAUAGCUGACUCAUCGAGUGAUUUCGCGCCGAAAAUGAUUGGCGAUAAAUGACGUACCGAAGCCACGGAUGCCAUCGCGGUUCGCCGUGAUGGCGUGGUAGAAGAGCGUGAACGGUGCAGUGAAGCAGAACCGAAAGGGGACGUGGAGCGCCGUUCAGUGAGAAUGCAGACACGAGUAGCGAUAAACCAGAUGAGAAUUCUGGUCGCCGUAAACCCAAGGUUUCCUGGGCCAGGUUCGUCCUCCCAGGGUCAGUCGGGAGCUAAGACGAGGUCGUAAGACGUAGUCGAUGCACAGCCGGUCAACAUUCCGGCACCGACGUGGUUUAAACCGAUGGUGACGCAAGGAGAAAAAUGGCGGGAUCAUUGAAAGAUCCAGCUUAGGGGCAACCCGAAGCAUGCCAUCGGACAACUUGUCGAGAAAAGCCAUCGGCCCUUUGCCACGUUGCCCGUACCGCAAACCGACACAGGUGGGUGGGUGUAAGUGCACCAAGGCGCGCGAGAGAGACCUCUCUAAGGAACUCGGCACAUUAGCCCCGUAACUUCGGGAAAAGGGGUGCUCGCUUCGGCGAGCCACAGUAAAUUGCGUUUAGCGACUGUUUAACAAAAACACAGCACUCUGCCACGUCGUUAAGACAACGUAUAGGGUGUGACAAGUGACCAAUGCGGAAAGAUCAAGGCAAGGGGUUAGCCGCAAGGCGAAGCUCUGAACCUAAGUCCCCGUGAAUGUCGGCCGUAACUAUAACGGUCCUAAGGUAGCGAAAUUCCUUGUCGGGUAAGUUCCGACCUGCACGAAUGGUGUAACGAUCUCCGCACUGUCUCAGCCGCGAGCUCGGUGAAAUUGUGGUAUCAGUGAAGACGCUGAUUACCCGCAACGGGACGGAAAGACCCCAUGCACCUUUACUAUAGUUUAACAUUGAUUUCGGGUAAGUGAUGUGUAGGAUAGGUGGGAGACUGUGAAGCGGGCACGCUAGUGCUUGUGGAGUCAACGUUGAAAUACCACCCUUUACUUACUUGGAGUCUAACUCCCGAUGGGAGGACAUUGUUUGAUGGGUAGUUUGACUGGGGUGGUCGCCUCCGAAAGGGUAUCGGAGGCUUUCAAAGGUUCCCUCAGUACGCUUGGUAACCGUACGUAGAGCGCAAUAGCAUAAGGGAGCUUGACUGUGAGACCGACAAGUCGAGCAGGUACGAAAGUAGGAUAUAGUGAUCCGGUGGUUCCGCAUGGAAGGGCCAUCGCUCAUAGGAUAAAAGGUACGCUGGGAUAACAGGCUGAUCCUUCCCAAGAGCUCAUAUCGACGGGAGGGUUUGGCACCUCGAUGUCGGCUCGUCACAUCCUG
rnacentral:rRNA from 1 species